AAAUAGUAACGGAAUUGUCCGUUGCUAUUCCGUUGCUAAUAAUUAAUUCAAAUAACCGAAAAUAUUUAUUUUAAAAAUAACAACGGAAUUCACGUCCGUUGCUAUUUAGCAACGGAAUUUUCCGUUGCUAUUUCGUUGCUGCGCCCUAAAAAAAAGGUGAAUGAACCGCGCCUCCUCCUUCAUUUUUUCAACACAACUUUCACUUCUAUUUCGCAAAAUUCCCAAAUUUCCCCCCUCCGAUUCCCCAUUUCCGGCGACUCCCGCUGCGUGCUCCCCUCCGGCGACUCGUCCACGCCGCCGUUUCCACCGCGCCCCUGCUCGCCCCGCCUCGCUCCGCCCCGCGCCGCUCUGCGCCCUGCGCUGCUGCCCGCCCCGCGCCGCUCCGCGCCCUGCGCUGCUGCCCGCCCCGCGCCUCGCCGCUGGUCGCCCCGCCUCGCGCCGCUGCCGCCCUGCGCCGCUGCCCGCCCCGCGCCUCGCCGCUGGUCGCCCCGCCUCGCGCCGCUGCCGCCCUGCGCCGCUGCUCGCCCCGCCCUGCGCCGCUGCCCGUCCCACGCCGCGCUGCUGCUCGCCCCGCCCCUCCCUGGCGCCGUGUCCUCUGCUGCCAGCGCCGGAUUCCUCCGCCGCCACCGGUCCUCCUCCUCCGCGGCGACCGGUCCUCUUCCUCCGCUGCCUGCGUCCGUCGGAUUCCUCCAUAGGUCAUAACUGCGACCCCAAGGCAAAUUGAAAGUUUGAUACGCCUCAGUGAGGCUUUGGCACGGAUUCGUUUCUCAGAAUUGGUUGAGAAGUCGGAUGUAAUCGAGGCUUUUAGGCUUCUCGAGGUGGCAAUGCAACAGUCUGCAACAGACCAUUCGACGGGAACCAUUGAUAUGGACCUGAUCACGACGGGGGUAUCUGCAAGUGAAAGAAUGAGGCGGGAGAAUCUGGUGUCGGCCACGCGCAGCCUCAUUAUGGACAAGUUGACAAUAGGAGGGUCGUCAGCUCGCUUGAUGUAGUUACUUGAAGAGUUGAAGAAGCAGAAUCCCGGUGGUGCUGAGGUGCACCUUAGUGAUCUUCGAACUGCUAUGGCGACUCUUUUAGCAACAGCUAAAUUUCGUGCGUAUGUUCGAGGAGAUAUUGGCUAGGCUUCCACCUGGACCCACUGGACCCACUCCACCCACUGGACCAUCAUCUUGAUUAUGUUGUGUUUUUGUAUUUUGAAUACUUGAAUAUUUCUAUUAUAUAUUUGUGAACACUUGAAUAUUUUGUUAAGUUAUGACUAUUCGAAUGCUAAUUUAAAUUUCA